AAUUUUAAUUUGAAAUGUAAUUCCACAACCUGUUUGCAAUCUCAAUUCAAAUUCAAGAAUUGAAUUGGAAUUUAGGGGUCAUUCUCAAUUCAAUUCUGAAUUUUGUACAACCCCGGUGUGUAAAUUAUUUUUG